GCGGGGCUUAAGAUCGCCCGCUGGGGGCCGGGCGAUUGGAGACCCCGUCCCCGUAGGGGGUUCGUGGGUUCAAAUCCCACCCCCCGCACCA
rnacentral:tRNA from 1 species